rnacentral:tRNA from 1 species
CCCUGAUUAGCUCGGUUGGUAGAGCGUUCCACUGGAAAUGGAGGGCUCCUGGCUCGAUGCCCGGACCAGGCG